UACGGAGGGUGCAAACGUUGCUCGGAAUCAUUGGGCGUAAAGCGCACGUAGGCGGCUCGUUAAGUCGGGUGUGAAAGCCCUGGGCUCAACCCGGGAAGUGCACUCGAAACUGGCAAGCUUGAAUAUGGAAGAGGGUCGCGGAAUUCCCGGUGUAGAGGUGAAAUUCGUAGAUAUCGGGAGGAACACCAGUGGCGAAGGCGGCGACCUGGGCCAAUAUUGACGCUGAGGUGCGAAAGCGUGGGGAGCAAACAGG
rnacentral:rRNA from 1 species